CCUACGGGUGGCUGCAGUGGGGAAUAUUGGACAAUGGGGGGAACCCUGAUCCAGCCAUGCCGCGUGUGUGAAGAAGGCCCUCGGGUUGUAAAGCACUUUCAGUGAGGAAGAACGCCUGGUGGUUAAUACCCAUCAGGAAAGACAUCACUCACAGAAGAAGCACCGGCUAACUCCGUGCCAGCAGCCGCGGUAAUACGGAGGGUGCGAGCGUUAAUCGGAAUUACUGGGCGUAAAGCGCGCGUAGGUGGCUUGAUAAGCCGGUUGUGAAAGCCCCGGGCUCAACCUGGGAACGGCAUCCGGAACUGUCAAGCUAGAGUGCAGGAGAGGAAGGUAGAAUUCCCGGUGUAGCGGUGAAAUGCGUAGAGAUCGGGAGGAAUACCAGUGGCGAAGGCGGCCUUCUGGACUGACACUGACGCUGAGGUGCGAAAGCGUGGGUAGCAAACAGGAUUAGAUACCCUAGUAGUC
rnacentral:rRNA from 1 species